rnacentral:rRNA from 1 species
UACAGAGGGUGCAAGCGUUAAUCGGAAUUACUGGGCGUAAAGGGCGCGUAGGCGGCCCGUUAAGUCGAACGUGAAAUCCCCAGGCUCAACCUGGGAACUGCGUCCGAUACUGGCGGGCUUGAAUCCGGGAGAGGGAUGCGGAAUUCCAGGUGUAGCGGUGAAAUGCGUAGAUAUCUGGAGGAACACCGGUGGCGAAGGCGGCAUCCUGGACCGGCAUUGACGCUGAGGCGCGAAAGCCAGGGGAGCAAACGGG